rnacentral:rRNA from 1 species
CAUGGCUGUCUCAGCUCGUGUUGUGAAAUGUUGGGUUAAGUCCCGCAACGAGCGCAACCCUUAUCCUUUGUUGCCAGCGGUCCGGCCGGGAACUCAAAGGAGACUGCCAGUGAUAAACUGGAGGAAGGUGGGGAUGACGUCAAGUCAUCAUGGCCCUUACGACCAGGGCUACACACGUGCUACAAUGGCGCAUACAAAGAGAAGCGACCUCGCGAGAGCAAGCGGACCUCAUAAAGUGCGUCGUAGUCCGGAUUGGAGUCUGCAACUCGACUCCAUGAAGUCGGAAUCGCUAGUAAUCGUGGAUCAGAAUGCCACGGUGAAUACGUUCCCGGGCCUUGUACACACCGCCCGUCACACCAUGGGAGUGGGUUGCAAAAGAAGUAGGUAGCUUAACCUUCGGGAGGGCGCUUUAUCUCUC